CCAUAAAAUAUCUUCACCUACUUUGAGAAUUUUUCGUUUCCUUCAUGAAAUUAACUUCUAUAUAUGGAAACAUGCAUCGAGAACUGUUUGUCUGUUUCUUUCAUAGUAAAUGCUUUUCAAAUGUUUGAGACAUCUGCAUCCUUUCGGUCAUAGUAGGAGGAAUGGUCCUACAUGGUCACGUUCAGUGUUGUCAAAUUGCAAGGCGCCUUAAGGUGACAAGGUCUGCUAGCGCUUGAGGUGCCAAGCGUGAGCCUAGGUGCUUGCCUGAGUCAAGAGAGAUGCUACUAAUGAAAGUAUACAUGACUACAGUAAAAUCAAUUAAUCAAAGCUGCAAGCGAAAUAUCACAUCAUAGAUAACCAUAAUAACAUUGAAUUAAACAAGUCUUAAAAGAUGAGAUACAAUAAUUUAAGGAGCUAAUGCUUUGCUCUUCAUCAACAUCCACUAAAUCAUCAUCCAUGCUCUCCUCUCAAUCUACCACUUCAUCCAAAUAAUCGUCUUUCAAGCCAAAAUGUGCUUCUUUAGGUUUUGAUCCUUUUAUACUUCGAGAAUUGGAUGCCUUAGCAGUUGUUCUCAAUCUUGUUUACUCUGCGGUUCUCACUUCUCCAGCUUCAGAUGCUCUAGCCACAUCACCCAUGUCAAAUUGUGAAGUGUCUGCACCUGUCUCUCCAAUCAAUGAUUCAUUAUAAUUAUUAGUAUCACUAAAGAGAUAGAACUAACAACAUCCCUCAAAAUGGCGAUUUACAUUUUCUGUCAAAACUUAAAGCAUUUGCAUUUUGUUUUAGAUUUAGUUCCACUUCCAGGCUAUCGGUAAGCUGUUUAAGAUUUUUGUCUCUCUCCAAUAUCUUUGUGCCACUUUCUAUCGUUCUAAUAUGGUGCUUUAGGAAGUGCUUAUGCAAUCUAAGGCAUAUAUUUUUUCGUGGUCAAAUUGUUUUGGUUAGCUUUGAUUUAUGCCUUAGAAAAUAACGCAUAUAUACAUAUUGAGAUUGUAUUUCUUGGGAUCAAAUCGGCAAAAGAUUAUAGUUAUCAUUCUUCUGCUGGCUUCUCUUUUACUGACUUUGUGACAGGGAACAGGAAGAACAUUGUUUUUCCUGGCCUGGGGUUACUAUGCUUGUAAAUUUUGAUUCCGGGCUUAUAUGGAGGUCUAUUAUAUUCCCUGAGGUGCAAAGAAACAUCUAGGUAUCUUCCUGUGCAUUGGAUUUUUGUGGAAAAAUUGUGGAGUAGCAUUCAAAUAACAUCUCCCAGACAAUAAUGGAGAAAUAGUUGUAGCUUUGGGUUCUCCUUGUCUUUUUCUUCUGACUGAUUACAACCAUAUUAUCUUUGAUGAGUAGUUUUCUGCUGAACUGAUCCUCUUUAAAAGAGUUAUGCUGGGGACGCUAAGAGGAUUUUACUAAAUUAAAAGAAACAAGAAAGGGUAGUAGAAUUACUAUAGUGUGUUUUUUUGUUGUUGCUAUAAACUUAUUGGCAUUGUGGAUUGGAAUAGUAAAAUGACUAUUUUCACCUUACAAACAUAACACAGUUGACUUUGGCAGUGGUGGUAUAAUAGUCUUUUUGUAGUUUUUUGAAUAGUAGAAUGACUAAUAUAUCCUUAGAGACAAAAAAUCAUGCGGUGAUAGGCUUAGAAAUUUUUUAGUUUUCAUUUCAAUUGCACAAUAAAAUUACUGAAAUGUCCUUGAAUUAAUUGUCUUUGCCUUGGGUCAAGGGGUUUUCAUGUCUUUUCCAUUUAGGUUUUUUGUGAUUAUCAAGUAUGAUCAAGGGUGAUUUAGUAUUUAGGCAUAUAUAAAAUAUUAAUUAAUUCUAAAAAGUAGGUUGUGCUUGAUGUUCACGGGGACAUGCGCGAAUGCUUCUCUGAUUUUUGUCCAGCGAUAUAUGGUGACCAAAAUCUUGCUUCCAAGAUGGAGUUUUAUUCCUCUUGACACCGCCCCUAUAAAUAAGCGGCCUGUGUACCAAAUAAAAUGUCAGGUUUUGCUCUGAUGGCUGUUUUUUCCACUUCCUUCUUUACUCUCGGCCAAACACAAGGUUUUUUAGAAGGACAAAUCUUAUGAUCCAAAAUAUCAACCAAACACUUAAAAAAACUAUGUAUCGAUCUCAACGAUAUACAAGGCCAUAGAGAAAUGUGUAUCCGGUACACGGAGAUUAAGGGUAUAUGAAGCCAAUGCCAAGAUUUCGAUCACAAUACAGAUAUCAUCACCAAGCACCAAGAUGAUUCCACAAGGUUUUUGGGAGAAUGGACAAGCCUUUCAACAACCAAUAGUGAUGCCAUUCAACCUAGUAGGGAACUACUAUUAGAGAACAAGGCCUAGAGUGAAGAUCUGAUCAAGGAGGAGUGUUCAAAGAUUCGAUGACUAUCUCUUUGUUUUCGAAGAUGCAAAAAAGAGAUACAAUGAAGAUUUCAAAACCAGACAAAUUGCUCCACCAAGAUACGUGGAUUAAGGUGUUGUUAGGGUGAUUGAGUGGUGGGUGGCGACUAGGGUAUGUGCUGGCAGUUGCGUAG